GACGAACGCUGGCGGCGUGCUUAACACAUGCAAGUCGAACGCUGAAGACCUGGCUUUUGUUGGGUUGGGUGAGUGGCGAACGGGUGAGUAACACGUGAGUAACCUGCCCUCUUCUUUGGGAUAACGCCCGGAAACGGGUGCUAAUACCGGAUAUUCACUUAUAUUCGCAUGUGGGUUGGUGGAAAGGGUUGUUCUUGUGGGGGAUGGGCUCGCGGCCUAUCCGCUUGUUGGUGGGUUGAUGGCCUACAAAGCCUUUGACGGGUAGGUGGCCUGGGAGGGUGACACGGGAACUUGGACACGAGACACGGACCAGAGUGAGACGGGAGGAAGGAGUGGGGAAUAUUGGGCGAUGGCCGGAAGCAUGAUGCAGGGGUGAGGGGUGAGGGAUGGAGGACUUCGGGUUGUAAACCUCUUGGGAGAAUGGUCAAGCCGCAACUGUGGGUUGUGGUGAGGGUAGUGGGUAAAGAAGCGACGGCUAACUACGUG
rnacentral:rRNA from 1 species